GACGAACGCUGGCGGCGUGCUUAACACAUGCAAGUCGAACGGAAAGGCCCCUUUGGGGGUACUCGAGUGGCGAACGGGUGAGUAACACGUGAGUAACCUGCCCUUGACUUCGGGAUAACUUCAGGAAACUGGGGCUAAUACCGGAUAGGAAUCCUUGCUGCAUGGUGGGGGUUGGAAAGCUUCGGCGGUUUUGGAUGGACUCGCGGCUUAUCAGCUUGUUGGUGGGGUAGUGGCUUACCAAGGCUUUGACGGGUAGCCGGCCUGAGAGGGCGACCGGCCACAUUGGGACUGAGAUACGGCCCAGACUCCGACGGGAGGCAGCAGUGGGGAAUAUUGCACAAUGGGCGGAAGCCUGAUGCAGCAACGCCGCGGGCGGGAGGACGGCCUUCGGGUUGUAAACCGCUUUCAGCAGGGGCGAAGCUUGUGGUGACGGUACCUGCAGAAGAAGCACCGGCUAACUACGUG
rnacentral:rRNA from 1 species